CCUACGGGAGGCAGCAGUGGGGAAUAUUGCGCAAUGGGGGAAACCCUGAUGCAGCGACGCCGCGUGGGUGAUGAAGGUCUUCGGAUCGUAAAACCCUUUUCAAGGUGACGAGACAAGGACGGUAGCCUUGGAAGAAGUCUCGGCUAACUACGUGCCAGCAGCCGCGGUAAU
rnacentral:rRNA from 1 species